UACGUAGGCAGCGAGCGUUGUUCGGAUUUACUGGGCGUAAAGAGUGUGUAGGCGGUGCUCUAAGUUCGGUGUGAAAUCUCCUGGCUCAACUGGGAGGGUGCGCCGGAAACUGGAGUGCUUGAGCGUGGGAGAGGAAAGCGGAAUUCCUGGUGUAGCGGUGAAAUGCGUAGAUAUCAGGAGGAACACCUGUGGUGUAGACGGCUUUCUGGACCAUAGCUGACGCUGAGACACGAAAGCGUGGGUAGCAAACAGG
rnacentral:rRNA from 1 species